rnacentral:rRNA from 1 species
UGGGGAAUAUUGCACAAUGGGGGAAACCCUGAUGCAGCGACGCCGCGUGAACGAAGAAGGUAUUCGUAUCGUAAAGUUCUGUCCUAUGGGAAGAUAAUGACAGUACCAUAGAAGAAAGCUCCGGCUAAAUACGUGCCAGCAGCCGCGGUAAUACGUAUGGAGCGAGCGUUGUCCGGAAUUAUUGGGCGUAAAGGGUACGCAGGCGGUUUAAUAAGUCGAAUGUUAAAGAUCGGGGCUCAACCCCGCAAAGCAUGGAAACUGAUAAACUUGAGUAGUGGAGAGGAAAGUGGAAUUCCUAGUGUAGUGGUGAAAUACGUAGAUAUUAGGAGGAAUACCAGUAGCGAAGGCGACUUUCUGGACACAAACUGACGCUGAGGUACGAAAGCGUGGGGAGCAAACAGG